AACGAACGCUGGCGGCGUGCCUAACACAUGCAAGUCGAACGAGAAAGUUUCCUUCGGGAAACCAGUAAAGUGGCGCAAGGGUGAGUAACACGUGAAUAAUCUACCUGUGAAUUCGGGGAUAACUUGACGAAAGUUGUGCUAAUACCGGAUAAGACCACGUCUCUUAUGUGAUGUGGCCAAAGGAGUCUCAAACUCCGUUUAUAGAUGAGUUCGCGGACCAUUAGCUUGUUGGCGGGAUAAUAGCCCACCAAGGCUACGAUGGUUAGCCGGCCUGAGAGGGUGAUCGGCCACACUGGAACUGAGACACGGUCCAGACUCCUACGGGAGGCAGCAGUGGGGGAAUAUUGCGCAAUGGGCGAAACCCUGAUGCAGCGAUGCCGCGUGAGUGAAG
rnacentral:rRNA from 1 species